CGUUAAUUGGCGAAAAAUGUAAAAUGGCGUCUGUCGAAUAAGACAGUAUAUGGAGGAAGACAGCAAGUCUACUAAGAUGCCUUCAUCUUCAUUUUGAAGGCCACCGAUGCAUUCUUGCCAGUGUUAUCCUACAAUCCUCAACACAUAUGGCUCAGCAGUUGGAGAAAAUGUCAGUUAAAAGAGGAUUCUUUAAGAAGGUCGCAGCAAAUGAACACCUCAGAUGGCUGUGACUCAUGCAGGCCAUAGCGAGUGCCAGGUCGAGAGAUUGAGGCUGAAGUUGACGGUGCCUGUGCUCUUGGUACAACGUGAAACUGAAGCAAAGAGGAGGCAUGUGACACAAGCUAAACCCGGAGAACUCCAGAGUUUAGUCGCUCCACGUGGCUUAAACAAGCAACUCGAGGGCGUGCAGCCAUUUUGGGGCUCGGUUGGUGAGUUCCGUCCAAAGAAAGAGAAGCAUUGCCGGGGGCAGGAAUCAGAGCGGCGCUCACCAAAAGCAGCCUGGCUGAUGUGACUGGGACACUGUCAAAAGGUUGGUAAAGGAAUCCAUUGUCUCUGUGACAAGUGGACUGGCUCUAUUGACAGUACAGUUGACGGGAGAAGGGAGGAGGGUGGUAAAGAUAAGGGCACAAUGCCUGGUUUUCUAGUUGAAACUUGAAGCCAUUUGUGCUUUCUCUUUCUGUUCCUCUGUUCCCUGUUUUCCAGACAAACUGAGAGGAGACCAUUCUGAGUUUGAUUAGAAGCCAGCAGCAAUGGCAUUCAUUAAUCCUCACACACCUUGUCGUGUCCAACUUCAAUGCUACCUUCACACUAAACAGUCAAGGUAUGCUAACCAUUCAAUUAAGUUACCGAGAAGCGUCACAUCAAUAUUAUUAACAUACACCUAUGGAAUGUACUCUAAGAUCAUUCUUUUAUUCCACUUUUAAGGACAUUCUGUAAUUGAAUGUGGUUUAGUGCUUAUUAUAACUACGCCAAGAUAGAUGUUUCACUGCUAAGCUGCACUGUAAAAAAAAUUCCGUAAAAUUUA
rnacentral:lncRNA from 1 species